GACGAACGCUGGCGGCGUGCUUAACACAUGCAAGUCGAACGGAAAGGCCCUGCUUUUGUGGGGUGCUCGAGUGGCGAACGGGUGAGUAACACGUGAGUAACCUGCCCUUGACUUUGGGAUAACUUCAGGAAACUGGGGCUAAUACCGGAUAGGAGCUCCUGCUGCAUGGUGGGGGUUGGAAAGUUUCGGCGGUUGGGGCUGGACUCGCGGCUUAUCAGCUUGUUGGUGGGGUAGUGGCUUACCAAGGCUUUGACGGGUAGCCGGCCUGAGAGGGUGACCGGCCACAUUGGGACUGAGAUACGGCCCAGACUCCUACGGGAGGCAGCAGUGGGGAAUAUUGCACAAUGGGCGGAAGCCUGAUGCAGCAACGCAGCGUGCGGGAUGACGGCCUUCGGGUUGUAAACCGCUUUCGCCUGUGACGAAGCGUGAGUGACGGUAAUGGGUAAAGAAGCACCGGCUAACUACGUG
rnacentral:rRNA from 1 species